rnacentral:rRNA from 1 species
UACGUAGGGGGCAAGCGUUGUCCGGAAUCAUUGGGCGUAAAGCGCGUGUAGGCGGUUCGGUAAGUCUGCUGUGAAAGUCCAGGGCUCAACCCUGGGAUGCCGGUGGAUACUGUCGGACUAGAGUACGGAAGAGGCGAGUGGAAUUCCCGGUGUAGCGGUGAAAUGCGCAGAUAUCGGGAGGAACACCAAUUGCGAAGGCAGCUCGCUGGGACGUCACUGACGCUGAGACGCGAA